CUCCUACGGGAGGCAGCAGUAGGGAAUUUUCCGCAAUGGACGAAAGUCUGACGGAGCAACGCCGCGUGAGUGAUGAAGGUCUUCGGAUCGUAAAACUCUGUUGUCAGGGAAGAACAAGUUGUGUUCUAACAGGACAUGACCUUGACGGUACCUGACCAGAAAGCCCCGGCUAACUACGUGCCAGCAGCCGCGGUAAUAC
rnacentral:rRNA from 1 species